ACUGUGAAUGCCCAUUGGAUAACUUCAUAUGACAUCAUUUUGAAACAACCUCUGCACCUCUGUUGUAUGGAUAUAAAUGCAUGCUGUGUAUGUAAAACAUAUGUAAAGUGUUGGUGGCUUAAAAAUCUGAAGACAUCAAUGAGAAGGAACACAAAAACCAUGGUGCAUAAGUUAUGUCCAACAAGUCCUUUAAAAUACAGCUAUGGAUUGGAUUCAGCAGCCAGAGUCACAUGAGCACCAGAUCCUUCUUGCUCCUAUGACAGAGGGUCCUUGACUUGUGUGAAAUUUACUGAAGCAGAUGCUCCAUU